CUGAAACUAUAGCUGUCUCUACAAGAAGCCUUAGCGUAAAAACUCCGACCCAGAGGAACUUCCGAUUCAAUUCAAUGGCGAACAGCAAUCUUCCCCGUAGAAUCAUCAAGAUUGAUAGCUGCUUGCAUUAAAGCCUUGAAGGAGGGGCUAUCAUAUAUUCCAAUAGUAUUAUUUAAUAAUUGUAGCAUUGUAGAGCUUCUCUAAUUAUGAACUUGUGCCCAAAACUAGAGCACAGCCAAGGCCUAAUAGUUCUAUGUCUUUAGGAGGUAUGGAUUAUGUUGAACCCAAGAAAUGGAGCAACGUUUUGGGGAAAAUUCUUAUGGUUGAUGUCCUUACAGCUCUAUGUGUCCUUAUAUUCAAGCUAAGCAAUUCUGCAAUUCUCAUGUGAUCUAACAUGGUUGCUUCGGUGGACUGAACUCUACAAAAAUAUAAAAUGUAAAAAUCAAAUGCAUUCUUUUAUAAUUUUAAACUGACCCUUCCAAUUUCUGUUUC